ACAACACAUUUUAACAGAUAUCCUAACGGUGUGUGGCUGUAGUUGGCAUCUACAAGUAGCACUGUAUUUAACUUUUAGAUGUCAGGGUUAAAAGUCCCUGAAGUUUUGGAAGGAAGAGAUUCUAUCGAAUGCUGGCGGUUGGAGCUCUUGGGACGCAAAUUGAUAACAUCAAAUUUCACGCUUUUCAGGAUCAAUGCUCCCUAAAGGUUGUGAAGACUCGAAUUUGGGCUUGAUCACUGAAUGCUUUUCUGGGGAGAAGUAGUCAGCAAGAUUUACUUUAAAUUAAUUAGUGUUUGUUUGGAAAUUUAGUGAAAAAUAUUGAUUCUUGUUUUGGCUGCAUGGUCUUUAUAGGCGACAAGUUACUUAAAUAACUAACUAUGCUUUGUUCUGAAAUAAAAGGACAAAAUUAUUGAAUGAGUUGUUACUGAUUAGAUCAAGAGCAUCAAAGACUGUAGGUAUUUAUUUAUUUAUUACAAUUUAUGGCAUACAAAAAUCAGAAGCCAAGGGAUGAAAUGCAAAA